GCACCGCGACCCCAGGUCAAACGGGAUUACCCGCUGAGUU
rnacentral:rRNA from 1 species